rnacentral:rRNA from 1 species
UAGGGAAUCUUCCACAAUGGACGCAAGUCUGAUGGAGCAACGCCGCGUGAGUGAAGAAGGUCUUCGGAUCGUAAAGCUCUGUUGUUGGUGAAGAAGGAUAGAGGCAGUAACUGGUCUUUAUUUGACGGUAAUCAACCAGAAAGUCACGGCUAACUACGUGCCAGCAGCCGCGGUAAUACGUAGGUGGCAAGCGUUGUCCGGAUUUAUUGGGCGUAAAGCGAGCGCAGGCGGAAUGAUAAGUCUGAUGUGAAAGCCCACGGCUCAACCGUGGAACUGCAUCGGAAACUGUCAUUCUUGAGUGCAGAAGAGGAGAGUGGAACUCCAUGUGUAGCGGUGGAAUGCGUAGAUAUAUGGAAGAACACCAGUGGCGAAGGCGGCUCUCUGGUCUGCAACUGACGCUGAGGCUCGAAAGCAUGGGUAGCGAACAGGAUUAGAUACCCUGGUAGUCCAUGCCGUAAACGAUGAGCGCUAGGUGUUGGGGACUUUCCGGUCCUCAG